UGUCUAAUUAAAACAAAGCAUUGCGAUGGCCCUCAAGGGUGUUGACGCAAUGUGAUUUCUGCCCAGUGCUCUGAAUGUCAACGUGAAGAAAUUCAAACAAGCGCGGGUAAACGGCGGGAGUAACUAUGACUCUCUUAAGUUUUCGGCAAUUCCUAUCAUUAUAA
rnacentral:ncRNA from 1 species